rnacentral:rRNA from 1 species
GUGGAUGAGGCAUGCAAGUCGAACGAAGUAGUGGUUUCGGCUACUACUUAGUGGCGGAAGGGUUAGUAAUACAUAGGUAAUCUGCCUUCAACUUGGGAAUAACGACUGGAAACGGUCGCUAAUACCGAAUGAGGUGGGUACAGGCAUCUGUAUUUGAUCAAAGCGGGGGACCUUCGGGCCUUGCGGUUGAAGAAGAGCCUAUGGGAUAUCAGCUUGUUGGUAGGGUAACGGCCUACCAAGGCUAUGACGUCUAGGCGGAUUGAGAGAUUG